CCUCAAAGACUCGAAGGCAUCACAAUGUCAGAAAUGGACACAAGUGUCCCAUAUGUGGACAUGUAUAUGCUGAUAUUGUUCAGCACCUAAGAGUCACAGAGCAGGUUGUAAAUAAAACUGAGCUGACUCUUUUGAGCCAAUUUUCUCAUCGGCACUUUUCUGCAAAUCUGGACUGUCCAGUCCGUUUAUGUCAGUCAAAACAUCUUAAUCGGCUUGACAAGCACCUGGAAAAGGUCCACAAAUUACAGAAACCUAUGAUUAAACUUUACAUGCAAAAGGCCAAGGACAGACACAUUGCUAAAGAACUGGCACUUCUGAGGGCAUCAAAUCCCACACCGCAAAUGGUCUCACACAUGGAUGAAGUGGAUGAUGCUGUAAUUGAGGAGGGCAUCUUUAGGGCACUGGAGGAAGGGUCAAAGGUUGCUUCUGCUAUAGCCUCUUCCAGCAAGGCUCCCAGUGACCAUGUUACACUGAUCCACUGGCCUGCUCGAGACGAUUCCGUUGACGAUUCCGGUGACUCUGACAGCGAGGCUCCCAGUGACUCUACCAGACCAAACCUACAGCCUCCUCUCUCUGCCAGUGACACUCUCAGUGACCACACCAUCCCAAUUAUGCAGCCUCCUUCUCUCUCCACCA
ensembl:lncRNA